UACGUAGGGGUCGAGCGUUGUCCGGAAUUACUGGGCGUAAAGCGUGCGCAGGCGGUGAUGUAAGACCGAUGUGAAAUCCCCGGGCUUAACCUGGGAACUGCAUUGGUGACUGCAUUGCUCGAGUAUGGCAGAGGGGGGUGGAAUUCCACGUGUAGCAGUGAAAUGCGUAGAGAUGUGGAGGAACACCGAUGGCGAAGGCAGCCCCCUGGGCCAAUACUGACGCUCAUGCACGAAAGCGUGGGGAGCAAACAGG
rnacentral:rRNA from 1 species